AGCUACCUGUCUACAGAAAGCUCUAGAAGAGAGGACCCAGAGAGCAAGUGAAUGCGCUUAGAGGCCGCUUAUCUUGAGAAAGUGCUCGCCGAGUCAAUUCUCACAGCCAUAAAAUAGGACGAAGCAGAUAAGCUUUGCGAUUUGAAAGAUGUCGCAAACUUCGUUCGAGGCAAGAAGCUGACAUUUUGGCAUGUCAUCGAAUGCAAUGACCACGUCAUUUUAGCUCACAUUUUAACGAUGACGCUCCUUGGUUUGAGUACUCUGUUGUCGUAAAAACCGACCUAACUCUUGCAGUAAACGUCGCAAAAGGAUCAGUGAAGCGGCUCGGGUCCAAAAUGGUAGUUCCGUCCACGAUCGACAGCAAACGACGGCUACUGGAGUUGCUGGAAGGAGUCGAGGGGUUCGACAGUGCCCAGAGGUCAAGCUCUGAAAACUCAACCACAGACAUCUUCGAGACUGUCGCCUCUCUUCUGAUCGAACUAUCCACAGCACAAGAAAACGAUAACACCCCGACCAUUCAACUGCUCGCUGAGGAAGUGAAGUUAAUGUCAACAAAAAAAGAACGGCGGCGCUACUCCGUAGAAUUUAUGGUGUACUGCUGCAUACUAUUUCUAUAUCGCCUCACGCGUACAAGUACAUGCGCAGUCACGGAAGCAUCAUCGUGCCACACCCAAGAACCAUUCGGUCAAUAUGUUCGUCUUUCGGAAUGAACCCACAACUAGAGCAUCAAGACAAUACAUCCCUCCGCUACAUGGCCAAGAAUAUAUCCGAGUUGAAUGAGCAGCAACGCUACGUGACUGUGAUGGUAGACGAAAUUCAUCUAAAGCCAUUUUUUUACUAUAAGGGAGGCAACAUCGCUGGUAUCGCGUUGAACAACGCAGAAGCAGCAAAUAGUGCAUUUGUAUUUCACAGCCUCAUGUGCAAGUUUAAGGAGGUAGCGCACAUUGUUCCCGUUCAAAAGGCUAAUGGAGAACUUCUGCACAACAUUUUAGGAGAUGUCAUUCGCGGCUUAGAAAAAAUUGGAUAAAAAGUGAUGUGUGUAGUGACCGACACCAACGCCGUGAAUCGAAGCGCAAUGGUGCCGUUUAAGUACUUGGUGAGCAAGGCCCCUCAAGCCGUUUAAAAAAAAUCACUGGCAAAUGAUUUCGGCUUUCCGCACCCAUCAGAUCCCCACAGGCCAUUGUUCUUUGUCAUCGACCCAAUGCAUUUACUGAAGUGCGUGCGACACAACUGGUUAAAACAAAAUGACCAGUGUUUCUGGUUCCCUCAGUUCGAACCAAGCACAGCGGGGCAGCGGCGCAUGCAGUAUGCGUAUUUCUAGACAGUGAAAGACGCAUAUAAUUUAGAGAGUGAGCAGUUACUCCGGUACGGCUAUACUUUGUCAAGAAAAGCUGUUUCUCCAACAGACAUCGAAAAACAGAAUGUUAAACCUGCUUUGCAGGUAUUCAGCGAGUCCGGACCGAAUGCACUUCGAGUCAUUGGAGCCCAGCACAGCCUGAAGCACUACGAAGAAACCGCCAGUUUCACUGAUGUAAUAGUGAGAUGGUGGAAAGUUGUCAACGUAAAGACUCCUUCAAAGGACUGAGACUAAGGGAUGACUUGCAAAAGCCCGUCUACCCUUCUCCAUUCGACCCCAAGGUUUCCUUCUUGAACGAUUUUUUGGACUGGUUGGAGGAGUGGAAGGAAAGGAGAGCGGAUGCCUGUAAGUUGUCUAAUGAGACACCUGUGGCUCUUAUUCAUACGACUGGGGUGUUCAUUGAAAUAUGUGCAUAUUGCUUUGAGGAGCUCAAGAUGUCCUUUGUGCUUCUUGGGAAGUUCCAAACAGACCUUCUGGAAGACCGUUUUGGUUGUUACCGACCACUGGCUGGCUCGCAGUAUCAUUUGUCCGUAAGACAGAUUUACGAGUGCGAGAACAAGUUACGACUGCAAAGCACACUACCACAAAUCAGCACGGCGUCCGCAAUCGACAACGACCAAAAUCAAAAUUGGGAAGAGCUCCAAACGCAGGCAGCAGUGCCAAGUGGAAAAUUCAACGUUGUUGUGACCCAGGAGGCGCUAUCAAAACUGAAGGAUGUCAUUCCAGUGGUUACCUAUGUUGCUGGUUACUCGGUGCACAUCGCUGUGAAGAGGUUAAAAUGCGACAAAUGCACAGAGCUCCUCAAAAUUGACAAGACUGUCGCAGUUUCUCCCGAAAAUCACAUGUACAGUCUUGUCAAAAAAUUGACAGGGGAGGGCUCGUUUACCCAGCAAUGCCAGCUGUGAAUGCGUGGCCACGGAUCUAACACUGCAACUGCUCAGCGACGAGGAGCCUUCAGAUUUCUACGUCUGUGAAAAGGGACACGCAAGUGAAGUGGUGCUCAAAUAUAUAUUGUAGUCCAGCACGAACAUUCAGCUCAAGAAAUUUUGCCGCGGAUUAAACAACAAAGUGUCGGACCCGGACAACAAGACUAAGAAGCAGAAGCUGCAAACUCUAACAAAUAAAUGAAUAAAACGCCGAUGGGUGUAAAUAU